UUGAACGCUGGCGGCAGGCCUAACACAUGCAAGUCGAGCGGUAACACAGAGAGCUUGCUCUCGGGUGACGAGCGGCGGACGGGUGAGUAAUGUCUGGGAAACUGCCUGAUGGAGGGGGAUAACUACUGGAAACGGUAGCUAAUACCGCAUAACGUCGCAAGACCAAAGUGGGGGACCUUCGGGCCUCAUGCCAUCAGAUGUGCCCAGAUGGGAUUAGCUAGUAGGUGGGGUAACGGCUCACCUAGGCGACGAUCCCUAGCUGGUCUGAGAGGAUGACCAGCCACACUGGAACUGAGACACGGUCCAGACUCCUACGGGAGGCAGCAGUGGGGAAUAUUGCACAAUGGGCGCAAGCCUGAUGCAGCCAUGCCGCGUGUGUGAAGAAGGCCUUCGGGUUGUAAAGCACUUUCAGCGGGGAGGAAGGCGGUGAGGUUAAUAACCUCAUCGAUUGACGUUACCCGCAGAAGAAGCACCGGCUAACUCCGUGCCAGCAGCCGCGGUAAUACGGAGGGUGCAAGCGUUAAUCGGAAUUACUGGGCGUAAAGCGCACGCAGGCGGUCUGUCAAGUCGGAUGUGAAAUCCCCGGGCUCAACCUGGGAACUGCAUUCGAAACUGGCAGGCUAGAGUCUUGUAGAGGGGGGUAGAAUUCCAGGUGUAGCGGUGAAAUGCGUAGAGAUCUGGAGGAAUACCGGUGGCGAAGGCGGCCCCCUGGACAAAGACUGACGCUCAGGUGCGAAAGCGUGGGGAGCAAACAGGAUUAGAUACCCUGGUAGUCCACGCCGUAAACGAUGUCGAUUUGGAGGUUGUGCCCUUGAGGCGUGGCUUCCGGAGCUAACGCGUUAAAUCGACCGCCUGGGGAGUACGGCCGCAAGGUUAAAACUCAAAUGAAUUGACGGGGGCCCGCACAAGCGGUGGAGCAUGUGGUUUAAUUCGAUGCAACGCGAAGAACCUUACCUGGUCUUGACAUCCACAGAACUUUCCAGAGAUGGAUUGGAGCCUUCGGGAACUGUGAGACAGGUGCUGCAUGGCUGUCGUCAGCUCGUGUUGUGAAAUGUUGGGUUAAGUCCCGCAACGAGCGCAACCCUUAUCCUUUGUUGCCAGCGGUUAGGCCGGGAACUCAAAGGAGACUGCCAGUGAUAAACUGGAGGAAGGUGGGGAUGACGUCAAGUCAUCAUGGCCCUUACGACCAGGGCUACACACGUGCUACAAUGGCAUAUACAAAGAGAAGCGACCUCGCGAGAGCAAGCGGACCUCAUAAAGUAUGUCGUAGUCCGGAUUGGAGUCUGCAACUCGACUCCAUGAAGUCGGAAUCGCUAGUAAUCGUAGAUCAGAAUGCUACGGUGAAUACGUUCCCGGGCCUUGUACACACCGCCCGUCACACCAUGGGAGUGGGUUGCAAAAGAAGUAGGUAGCUUAACCUUCGGGAGGGCGCUUACCACUUUGUGAUUCAUGACUGGGGUG
rnacentral:rRNA from 1 species